CUCUACAGCGGUUGUUAUUGUCGAGAUGCCACUCGUUGAGACAAAUCCCAGACUCGAUUGGAAAGUUGACAUCAUUGACAAAGGUGCAUUUGAAAUCUACGGCCAUUGAAGAAUUACCUGAAUCCAUUGGUUUUUUGAAUGAGCUCAAGACUCUAGAUGCCUCUCAUUGCAAAUCGUUAGCCCGCAUACCCAAUUCAAUAGGCAAUUCAACAUCUCUGUCUCGCCUUGACCUAACAGGAUGCCAUAAACUUGCUCAACUUCCGGACUCUAUUGGCUCUCUCGUGUCUCUACAGCAGUUGUUAUUGUCAGGAUGCCACUCGUUAAGACAAAUCCUAGACUCAAUUGGAAGGUUGACAUCAUUGACUGAGCUGCAUUUGAAAUCUACAGCCAUUGAAGAAUUACCUGAAUCCAUUGGUUCUUUGAAGAAGCUCAAGACUCUAGAUGCCUCUGAUUGCAAAUCGUUAGCCUGCAUACCCAAUUCAGUAGGCAAUUCAACAUCUCUGUCUCGCCUUGACCUAACAGGAUGCCAUAAACUUGCUCAACUUCCAGACUCUAUUGGCUCCCUCG
rnacentral:lncRNA from 1 species